rnacentral:rRNA from 1 species
UACAGAGGGGGCAAGCGUUGUUCGGAAUUACUGGGCGUAAAGGGCGCGUAGGCGGCCUUCUAAGUCGAACGUGAAAUCCCCGGGCUCAACCCGGGAACUGCGUCCGAUACUGGAAGGCUUGAAUCCGGGAGAGGGAUGCGGAAUUCCAGGUGUAGCGGUGAAAUGCGCAGAUAUCAGGAGGAACACCGGUGGCGAAGGCGGUGGUCUGGGCCGGCACUGACGCUGAGGAGCGAAAGCGUGGGGAGCGAACAGG